UGACCACUCUGGGCGGUGGAUCACUCGGCUCGCGGGUCGAUGAAGAACGCAGCCAGCUGCGAGACGUGAUGUGAAUUGCGGGACACAUUGAGCAUCGACUUUUCGAACGCACAUUGCACUCUAGGUCACACGCCUGGGGUGCGUCCGGCUGAGGKUCGGUAA
rnacentral:rRNA from 1 species